AAGGGGGGGACUGAUGCCUAUGGAUAUUUUGGAUUUUUAGCUUUUGUAGAUUUUAGAAGAAGCUGUAUAGGAAAUAUUAGAUUUUUAA